GAAUCCUGGUUAGCAUACAAAGAGCUCAUGCGAUCUGAUGAACACCAGACCCCUCAGAGUUAGGAAGUGGAAGUAUUCUCGCUCUCCAGAGACACUUUCACACUAUUCCCCUUCAUCCUACACUCUUACAAAAACCUCUCAGGGUGCCUGGUGGCUCAGUUGGUUGAGCAUCCAACUCUUGGUUUUGACUCAGGUCAUGAGCUCAUGUGCUGACAGUGAGAAGCCUGCUUGGGAUUCUCUCUCUCCCUCUCUCUCUCUGCCUCUUCCUCUCUCUCUCUCUCUCUCUUUCUCAAAAUGAAUAAGUGAAAAAAACACACACCUCUGCUCUUUGGUUCACACUGUACAGACAUGCCCUACCCACCUUGUAAUAACACUCUGCUGAUCACCUUUUUGCUUCUUGCUCCCACCAACUGAAGGAAUUUCCUGUCUACAUGGCUCCCACCAUUACCCUUGAAGAUCUCAUUAUGCAAGGGCAUGACCUACCCAGCAUCCCUACAUCUCAGUUCCUUUACCUCCUGAUUCCUGAUUAUCUCCAUUCCUCCACAGCCACCCUUGGUUACACUCUGCACUUGCUACCGCCAAACAUUCAUCACCUCACAAAUCACAGUUUCAAACAUCCCAUUUCUUAUUCAUGAUCUCACCCCUCCAGCUUUCUCGCUUGGCCUUAUUAAGCUUUUAGAUCCAUGGAUCCUUGCACCUUGGUUUUUUGGGGUGUUUUGUUUUGUUUUUGUUUGUACUUUUGGCCUCCCUUCCCCCAUACCGGCUUAGAUUCCUGGGCUCAUCAUUAUAAUUACCCUGUUGCAAAUAUGCUAGGUUUACUCAACCUCUUCUUUCAUAGAAUCUACUUACAGGCCCCCAGUCCUGGAUGAACUUCACCAUCCACCUCCCCUGUGUCGAUGCCUGAGCAACUGAGUAUUGUCACAAAAGUCAAAAAACCAAUUCAGAUGGUCCUCAGUUGUAUAUUUUGUUGGAUUUCAAGGAGGAAGAGGUGAAAAGUUUUAUACUGACCUCUCACAGGUGAGGAUGUGGCUGAGCCAAUGACUGAAGACAUCUGAAGGAAGAUACUAACCAGAUGAACAGGUAUCUCCGAAGUGUCUCAGUGGGAGCAAGAAAAAUGGCCACAGCAAGGUUGGCUGAAAGGUUGGAGAGACUGAACACUGUCAGGCUUAAGGGCUGUCAAACAUUGUACUUGGAACAAAGUGCAAAGUGAGUGGGGAGACUUCUCUACCGAACCCUACUUAACUGGUGCCUGUAAAUAACUGGAGUAAAACGGACACAUUCUAAGGCAUGAAGAAACUUUAGCCACUAUUAGUUUGUAGGUACAUAAGAGAUUCAGCUCACAGGUCAAGAAAGUGUUUCACCAUAUGAUGUCUUUUGUAUGGUAAGCUAUUUAAAGUAUAGAAUACAAGCAAUACAAUUAUAAGGAAAAUUUUCUGACUUUUAUUAUAACAUUUUGCCCCAUGCUUUUCAACAUAUUUAUAUGCUUUUUAAUGUUGUCCUUUCAUAUAAAAAUUUUGUUAUGCCGCCGAGCAGAUUAGGAGCUCCUUGAGGGAAGGGAUUCUAUCCUAUACAACCGAUGUGGAAUUCUGGGUGUUUGGUAAGUGCUCAUCAAAUACUUCAUGGAACAUUGAAUAUUGUGGACCUUGUACUUUAUGCUGCUAACUCCAGGUCCAAGAUACGGCUGGCUUCUGUGGAAAGUACCACCCCAGCACCUUAUGUCAGACUAUGACAAAAUAUCCCUGGGAAGCCCCCAGAAGUUUGUUUGGUUGCUUUCUGUUGUUGCCAUCACUUGAGUGACAUGUGGGUCUCCAGAGAGAGACUUUGCCUUCUCCUUUUCUCACAGAGCAACAUGCUCACUGUUGGCUGAAGGAUACGUAUGUUUUAUGGAGAGCAGAUUAGGUUACACAUAGGCAUUGUCUUCACUACUCACGGCACCAGGCACUGCUUUGGGACAACAAGCAGUCUCCUGACUGCCACCACGGGUGGGAUCCUUCGUAGCUCAAAGCUUUGACUCCCAACCUAUCCUAGUAAUCUGUCUUGCUUGUGCCAUUUGGUGUUGAGAUCCCUGAUUUCUGAAGGCAUAAAGUAACUUUUGCCCAGGAUUUGACUUUCUCUCCUUCUAACCACUAGAGCCCACACCAACCAAUCUCCUGAAGCGCUAUUGUGUCAGGCUUGAAAUGGAGGCUCAAUAUUUUUUGCUGCUUUAAGAUGUUAUAAAGUCCAGAGGCUCCCCGGUGGCCUAACUGCAAGUUCCCGUCCCUUGUCUCUUCAUGCGGAUGUCUCUUAGCCAAACAGCCCUCCUCAUCAUGGGGACCAGGCACACCACCUGUUUAUCAUUCAUCGUGUGCAGGAUUCAGUUCCCUGUCAGCCCACAGAAUUACUCAAACAAGCCAAUCACAUCCUUCCUUGGGAGCCAGGGGGCACCUCACUGUCUUGAUACUACAAAGUUUGCUUCCCACAGCCCCCACUUGUUCACCCUGACCUCAAGUGCAACCCUCAUGUGACUCUGUGUGGCAUGGAGUGUCCUCCUCCCCCAAGCUAAGUAUAUAUGACCAAUAAACUGCUGUUAAUCUCGUCUGUUCAGUGUCAGGUGUCACAGCCAUGCCCAUAAUCCCAGGGCGGGAAUCCUCCCCUUACUGAUGGGGUGAAGUGGAGGCGAUUAAAACAGCUACGCCCACCCCGUUCCUGAAGUGAAUCCUCUGGCUAUUAGUUCUUGUGCCUGUUUCUCAGAACUCUAAAGAUGCACCUGUUCCCUGUGGAGUUUUGGAUUCUUCUGCUGCCCUUCUGGAGGGCUCUCUGCUGCAUUUCCCCAGACUUACCCACCCUCAGUUCUUCACACUGAGCCAGUUACUGGCUCUUGCAAUACCAACAACAACAUGGAAAGGAUUCAGGAGCCACUUCUUCCAGUCAAUAACAAGUAAUUAUUAAAUAUUUCACUGUCUUUGUCUGGCAGCAUUAAUGUUCUCCAAAUCUUCUUCAGUAUUUUCCUACAUCCAUCCCACCAUGCUGAGGGCAUACACAUAUAGUCUGGGGAUAAAGGGAGUUUCUGCUAUGGAGACUCAAAUGUCAGAUAGUUAUACAAUAGUAUACCUUAAAAAAAAUAAAACUCCACUACUCUGAAUAAGAAGCCACUUCAUUUUUUCACUUUCUAACAACAUGGAAACUCACCAAAGUAAGGUCAUGGUAGAAUGCACUAUUAACUAACCUAUCUACUUCUAACUACAGUUUGUACAGUAGGCUUUCACAUGCCCUCAGGAGUCAGAAGGGAAAAAGAACACCCCUCCUGUGUUACCUCUACUGAAUAUUGGGGGAUUCCUCCCCUAUUCUAGGAUGUAGAUCUCCCUUCUGCAACUUUACGGCAGUCUGACCAGUUCACCUGAAGAUUUAAAAAUUAGAUGUAUUUGCAUUAGCCAGAAGAUAUAGGUGAAUAUUUACCUAACUCCUGAUUAGGGAAGGCCUAAGUUUAAAAGCAAAGUAAGAAACCCUAAUGAGAAAAGGUGGUAGAUGUAACUUUUUCUAAAAUUAUAAAUUCCUAAGUGAAGUGAAAGGUCAAAUUGGGGAAAAGAUAAAACAGAUUUGGCUGUCAAUGUGUUCAUGGUCUUACCACUAAAAGUAGUACUCACAAAAAAGACAGAUAUAUAUACCCCAAUAGAAAUAUUCUUACAGAAAAAGCAUCAAAAGGUAUGAUUAAGGAGUUAACAAAAGAAAAAUACAAACCACCAAUAGUUCUAUCCAAAAGAUCCAUCAUCUCUAGCAAACAAAUAACUACAAAUUAAAGUUAAGACGAAGAUACUAAUUUUUGUCUAUCAAACCGGCAGUGAGUGGGCUCUCCCACCUUGUGAGUCUUGGAAGGCAGGGCUCAUCCCUUCCUAUGAGAGGUACACACACCAGCUACUCUCAUUCCCAGCCUCUAGGCUUGGGCACUCAGAUGUAAUGACCCAAGAUUGUGCAUCUAUUGCUUGUCAUGCCUAGAAACUGGAAGAGAGCAGAACUCUUUCUGGCUGCUACAGCAACAUCCAAUUUCCGGGAGCUGCCGAGGUAGUGAUGCCAGCAUGGUGUCUGAUGUCCAGGCCCAGGGCCAGUAGUGGCAGCAAGUGCAGGCUCCUAUUCUGCCUCAGUGGCAGUAGCAGAGGAAUUCUUGCUGCACUGGGUCAAUAGUGAGCCAUUGGCUGGGGCUCUGGCUGCCCAGCCUUCCUCCAUUGCUGCCCAUUACCUAAGCCUUAGGUUCUAACUUUCCUGACAAAUCUGUGGGCUGCCCAACACCUUGUAAUCAAAUCUCACAGUAGUGUCUGUUGUUUGACUGAUACAGUGUUAUAUACAGAAAGCUUUCCAACCUUAUCAUUUCACUUUCAGGACAUAUCUUAGGUAAAUAACUAGAUGUGCACAUUUAAGUAAAGGAUUUCCUUCUAUGCCCUGUUGAGAGGAGCAAAAACAUGGAAACAAUCUGAAUACAAUCUCUCUACAAUAGGGAAAAUACGUGUGGAAUAUUAUAUAGUGAUUAAAAAUUGUGUUCUUAAAGAAUAUUAACAGAUGUAUAAAUACUCAUAAUACUAAGUUUAAAAAGCAAAAUG